AGCAAACGGAUAGCGCCAGACUUCAGGGAGCACAGGAACAACGGCCCUGAAGUGACGAGGAUUGGGUUUAUCGAAGAUUCGGCGGAUGACCCAAGGCACGUGUAGUCUACAGGAUUGAAGCAAAAAAGACCCUUCUGCGGCCCGAGCGCCCGGAUCGGUCUUACAGAGAUCAAUCCCCACACCCAG
rnacentral:ncRNA from 2 species